AUCGCUUCUCGGCCUUUUGGCUAAGAUCAAGUGUAGUAUCUGUUCUUAUCAGUUUAAUGAGAAGCAGUGUGGAUCAGUGGAAAGAGCCCGGGCUUUGGAGUCAGAGGUCGUGGGUUCGAAUGCCGGCUCCACCAACUGUCAGCUGUGUGACUUUGGGCAAGUCACUUAACUUCUCUGGGCCUGUUACCUCAU